UACGUAGGUGGCGAGCGUUACUCGGAAUUACUAGGCGUAAAGCGUGUGUAGGCGGGAACUUAAGUCUGUCGUUAAAGCUCACGGCUCAACCGUGAAAUGUCGACAGAUACUGGGUUUCUUGAGUGCGGUAGGGGAGAUUGGAAUUCCCGAUGUAGCGGUGAAAUGCGUAGAUAUCGGGAAGAACGCCAAAGGCGAAGGCAGAUCUCUGGGCCGUUACUGACGCUGAGACACGAAAGCUAGGGGAGCAAAUGGG
rnacentral:rRNA from 1 species